AAAUUGAAGAGUUUGAUCAUGGCUCAGAUUGAACGCUGGCGGCAGGCCUAACACAUGCAAGUCGAACGGUAACAGGAAUCAGCUUGCUGAUUUGCUGACGAGUGGCGGACGGGUGAGUAAUGUCUGGGAAACUGCCUGAUGGAGGG
rnacentral:rRNA from 1 species